rnacentral:rRNA from 1 species
UGGGAAUAUUGGCACAAUGGGCGAAAGCCUGAUGCAGCAACGCCGCGUGAGUGAUGAAGGCCUUCGGGUUGUAAAGCUCUGUCUUUUGGGACGAUAAUGACGGUACCAAAGGAGGAAGCCACGGCUAACUACGUGCCAGCAGCCGCGGUAAUACGUAGGUGGCAAGCGUUGUCCGGAUUUUACUGGGCGUAAAGGAUGCGUAGGCGGAUUUUUAAGUGAGAUGUGAAAACCCUAAGCUUAACUUGGGGACUGCAUUUCAUACUGGAAAUCUAGAGUGCGGGAGAGGAGAAUGGAAUUCCUAGUGUAGCGGUGAAAUGCGUAGAGAUUAGGAAGAACACCAGUGGCGAAGGCGAUUCUCUGGACCGUAACUGACGCUGAGGCAUGAAAGCGUGGGUAGCAAACAGGAUUAGAUACCCUGGUAGUCCACGCCGUAAACGAUGAGUACUAGGUGUAGGAGGUAUCGACCCCUUCUGUGCCGCAGUUAACACAAUAAGUACUCCGCCUGGGAAGUACGAUCGCAAGAUUAAAACUCAAAUGAAUUGACGGGGUCAUAGCU